UUUUGUGGUGGGCCCAUGGUGGAUGGAAGAUCUAUAGCUAUGGAUUUUGCUCCUUUUUUUUAGUAGUGUAAAUAUACUCACCAUUCUCCAUAAACUGUGUAGUCCUUCUAAUUUGCUUAUGGCUUAUGAAUUUUGUAGGUAUAUUAGAUCAGUUUUACAAACAUUGCUGCUCCUCAUCAAACGACUUCCGCCAAAGGUUAGAUAUGCUAUGCUGAAAAAACACUUGGCUCAUAUACUACCUUUAUUUCUUCUGUGAAGAUUCCACAACAAGCAAUCGGGGCAACUAUCAAGCAUCACAUUUGUCAAAAAAAUGGGUCUAAUGGAUCCCGCAGAAUCAGGGUCAAGCUCUAAUCUCAAUUUUGACAACCCA